GCGAUCUCGGCCGGGGAGCGUCGCUGAGAGGAAGCUUUCUGCAAUGUCUCCAGGUAACUUCGAAGCACCGAUCUCAAAGCAGGAAAACCUGCUGAGAUGUGGCAGAAAAUCUUGAAGGAAAAGACAUUUUAAAUUGAAACCAGCUUGAAUCCUGAAACACUGAAGCUUUCCAGCCUUCAGACAGCUGCCUGCACGUCCUUUCCCUGAAAUCCUCUCUCCUGACCAGCGUAUGGAAUCCUGCACUCCUCCUCCCAGGUGAGGGGCUCCUCCAGAGGCACACUUUGCUCCCAUUGUUUCCCUUUUUCUCCAGCAGCAUUUGUACAUGUGGUAGGUGAAUUCUCCAGCUAAGACACUCUCCACAGCAAUGUCCUAAAAUGCACUGACCCAGGCAGCAAGUCCCAGGAGGAAGACCUGUGGGCUUGGAAAAGGAGAUGCAUUUCCUCAGCAUAAGUUCCCCAACACAAGAAGACGUGGAGCUGCUGGAGCAAGGCCAGAGGAGGCCACGGAGCUGCUGCGAGGGCUGGAGCAGCUCUGCUCUGGAGCCAGGCUGAGAGAGCUGGGCUGGGGCAGCCUGGAGAAGAGAAGGCUCCUGAAGGGGAGACCUUAGAGCAGCUCCAGUGCCUAAAGGGGCUCCAGGAAACCUGGAGAGGGGCUUUGGACAAGGGCCUGUAGGGACAGGACAAGGGGAAUGGCUUGAACCUGCCAGAGGGGAGAUGGAGAUGAGCUCUGAGGCAGAAGCUCUUCCCUGUGAGGGUGCUGAGGCGCUGGCACAGACUUUUGCCAGAGAAGCUGUGGCUGCCCCAUCCCUGGCAGUGUUCAAGGCCAGGUUGGACACAGGGGCUUGGAGCAACCUGCUCUAGUGGAAGGUGUCCCUGCCCGUGGCAGGGGGUUGGAACUGGAAGGGCUUUAAGCUCCCUUCCAAUACAAACCAGUCUGGGAUUCUAUGAUUCUGUAAGAUGAACUGACCAAUGUCAGCAGAAUGAGACACUUUAGGAGUUUUGCUCUGCAUCAGUCUUGGUCACUUGAAGAGCUCAAUUAUGUUAUAUAUUCCUCCUUGUGAUUUUUAAGAGGAAUUGUUUCCAUAGGGGGCAAAAGUUCCUUACUUAAGCUGAUAUGUAACAAAGUUAUUUAUAUACAUAUCUUUAUAUAUCUGUAUAUAUGGGUACGUACAUAAAUCAUCACAAGUGUAUCAUCUAAAAUAUGUGAACAACCAGAAUGCUUUUGAUUCCCUGUGAAUCCUCCUAAGCCACAGGCAAUUCUUUACAAGAAGAGGUUAGCUACACAGUCUGUUUUUGUUGUUAUAUAUACUGUGCCCAGUCCAGGGUUGAGGAAACACCCAAGGGAGCUCAGCGUCAGGACAUCCAAGUUUCUGUCCUUACCGUCACCACUGCUGAAGCAUGACGCAGCAGGCACAGCACCUUCUCCAUGCUGCUGGUGUCCAGCCAGCCAGGAACACGGUCAAAACAAGAAACCACAGCAAUUGUUGAUAGUGUCUCAAUACUCAGCAUUUUUGACAUAUUAUCCUAGAGCUACGGGUUCAACCACCCCCUGCACGCCCAGCUGUGAGGGAAUCACCGCUGCAAUACAUCUCCUGUGUGAUCAAAUAACCUUGUGGCUGGAGUUUGUGUUUAUUCAGUGUAUUUCUUGCCAGCAAACCAUUUACGCAGGUUGUGCAGCUCUGUGACUGCUCGUUUGUGGCUUUAGUUGCCAGAAAUGGACCAGCCAAUCGCCUUGAUGAGUAAGGCAAGUAAAUGGAGAUAUCAUGUAAGUGCCUGAUCAUAAACACUAUUUGGGAUAAA
ensembl:lncRNA uncharacterized LOC115601128